AUGGCGAGUGGCGAACGGGUGAGUAAUAUAUCGGAACGUGCCCUACAGUGGGGGAUAACUAGUCGAAGGACUAGCUAAUACCGCAUACGAUCUACGGAUGAAAGUGGGGGAUCGCACGACCUCAUGCUCCUGGAGCGGCCGAUAUCUGAUUAGCUAGUUGGUGGGGGAAAAGCCUACCAAGGCGACGAUCAAUAGCUGGUCUGAGAGGACGACCAGCCACACUGGGACUGACACACGGCCCAGACUCCUACGGGAGGCAGCAGUGGGGAAUUUUGGACGAUGGGGGCAACCCUGAUCCAGCAAUGCCGCGUGAGUGAAUAAGGCCUUCCGGUUGUAAAGCUCUUUUGUCAGGGAAGAAACGGUAGUAGCUAAUAUCUAUUACUAAUGACGGUACCUGAACAAUAAGCACCGGCUAACUACGUGCCAGCCGCCGCGGUAAUACGUACGGUGCAAGCGUUAAUCGGAAUUACUGGGCGUAAAGCGUGCGCACGCGGUUGUGUAAGUCAGAUGUGAAAUCCCCCGGGCUCAACCUGCGAAUUGCCUGUGAGAC
rnacentral:rRNA from 1 species